rnacentral:rRNA from 1 species
GGCGUGCCUAAUACAUGCAAGUCGAGCGGUAACAGGGCCUCACCGUUCCUUGACACACUUGGCCAGAGUGCAAGUGGUGAGACUUCAGGGAACAGUGAAGCUGCUGACGAGCGGCGGACGGCUGAGUAACGCGUGGGAACGGACCCCAAAGUGAGGGAUAACGCAUCGAAAGGUGUGCUAAUACCGCAUGUGAUCUUCGGAUUAAAGCUUUUGCGCUUUGGGACUGGCCUGCGUACGAUUAGAUAGUUGGUGAGGUAAUGGCUCACCAAGUCGACGAUCGUUAGAUGGUUUGAGAAGAUGAUCAUCCAGACUGGGACUGAGACACGGCCCAGACUCCUACGGGAGGCAGCAGUAGGGAAUCUUUCACAAUGGGCGAAAGCCUGAUGGAGCAACGCCGCGUGCAGGAUGACGGCCUUCGGGUUGUAAACUGCUUUUAUAAGCGAGAAAUAUGAUGGUAACUUAUGAAUAAGGACCGGCUAACUACGUGCCAGCCGCCGC